UGAAACUGCGAAUGGCUCAUUAAAUCAGUUAUCGUUUAUUUGAUAGUACCUUACUCUUGGAUAACCGUGGUAAUUCUAGAGCUAAUACAUGCUAAAAACCCCAACUUCGGAAGGGGUGUAUUUAUUAGAUAAAAAACCAACGCCCUUCGGGGCUCCUUGGUGAUUCAUAAUAACUAAACGAAUCGCAUGGCCUUGCGCCGGCGAUGGUUCAUUCAAAUUUCUGCCCUAUCAACUUUCGAUGGUAGGAUAGUGGCCUACCAUGGUAUCAACGGGUAACGGGGAAUUAGGGUUCUAUUCCGGAGAGGGAGCCUGAGAAACGGCUACCACAUCCAAGGAAGGCAGCAGGCGCGCAAAUUACCCAAUCCCGACACGGGGAGGUAGUGACAAUAAAUACUGAUACAGGGCUCUUUUGGGUCUUGUAAUUGGAAUGAGUACAAUUUAAAUCCCUUAACGAGGAACAAUUGGAGGGCAAGUCUGGUGCCAGCAGCCGCGGUAAUUCCAGCUCCAAUAGCGUAUAUUAAAGUUGUUGCAGUUAAAAAGCUCGUAGUUGAACCUUGGGCCUGGCUGGGCCGGUCCGCCUCACCGCGUGUACUGGUCCGGCCGGGCCUUUCUUCUGGGGAGCCGCAUGCCCUUCACUGGGCGUGUCGGGCAACCACGACUUUUACUUUGAAAAAUUAGAGUGUCAAAGCAGCCUUUGCUCGAAUACAUUAUCAUGCAUAAUAAAUAGACGUGCGGUCUAUUUUGUGGUUUCUACGACCGCGUAUGAUAUUAGGAUAGCGGGGCAUCGUUUCAUUGU
rnacentral:rRNA from 1 species